CAAACACAAAGAUCAAAAAACUCUCACAGACCUAAAAUAAAAUCCAAGUGAAGACCUCCACCUGGGGAUAGGUGUCCCUGGUGUCACUGAGGAAAAGAAGCCGUGCUUGUAACCACUGCUACCAGAUGCUCAACUUGGCAGAAACAAAAAGGUCUUAAGUUGCUGCUUGCCUGUUCUACUUUUUCAGCCUUGACUCCCUUUUCUCUUGCAUCUUUAUUUGGGGGCUUUAGAUUUCGGACCGAUGAAGGGGGCUUGCUCCAGGGGCCUAGAGGAGUUUGAGAAAGCUCUUUCUGGGACUGGAUCUGUAAUUCCUUGCUGGACUCUGACUCCCUUAAAGGCAGUAAGAGAAAAGACUGGGGCCAGCGCCUUGGAGCACCUCGCCCCUCGGCCCUGCCGGGAGGUCUCCUCAGACCAGUGUGGACCUGGAUGUCCACAUGUGCUCAUGGGGGUCCUCCAGCUCCCCUUUGAGCAUCCAGACAAGUAGAGGCUCUGCCCCACCCCUGCCCCCGAUCCCCGGAUCUGAAGACGAGGCAGCCUUUGAAGUGAUUCAGCUGAGGGACAGAAGAUAUUUUCUCCACCAGAUUUGUGAUUGAAAUGGACGCUGCCACGCAGAUGGUGCACAUCUGUUGUGACCUGGUGGGUGGAGCUGAUAAAGAGCUGCUGACAAAUAGCAGCCGCAGGAAUAAGACGAAAGCCUUUGACUAAUCAGACGGAGCUGCCCCAGCGGAAGCGGAUCAAGAACCAUUUGGCAGCCCUUGGAGUGAACGCCGGCUGCCUCAGAGGCUCCUGUGGCUGAUGUCCAGUUUCUAGAGACGGUGUCUGGUUUCCUUCCAUGCCGUGAUAUGAUGGACUCACGGGCACCUGGUUGGCUUACUCUGCUCACAGUGGAUCCAGAGAGAGAAAGGCAUCAUGCCAGAAGUUCCUUAGCAGGCAAGCUCAACGCAAUUGCUGUGUCUCCACAGGUCAGACCUUCUUCAUGGAAAGACGCCCCAUGAAGGGUUCACAUGAGCUACUUUCCAAUCUCAGUUCCUCUCUCUUGCUUUCUCUCUAAUUCCUUCUUCAUGGAGGCAUAUUCUGCUUGCAGACUGAGUUGUGUUCUUUUAAUUCUUCCUCAGUGCACUUCGUUUCUACCCAAAAUAUCACAUACAAGAUAUUUCCAAACACACGUCUACUUCCUGAAAAUAUUCUUCUCAAACAUAUUUAACCUAAGAUUUUUCUCUUAUUUUGGUAUAAUGCAUUUCACCCCUAAUCAGUACUACAGGGCUGUGAGACCGUAGCUCUCUGAGCCUCAGCUGCCACAGCAGAAAACAGGAGAAAACUCCCCUCCCAGAGGUGUUGAAAGGAUUCCGUGAAGAUGAUGAACGCUGUUUCUAGCAUGAGACCCGCCAUGUACAAAGUCCUAAGCAAUCUGAGUUCCUCUGUUCUUUUCUUUGAAGGAACAAACUUGCUAAAUACAUACAGCCCCCAGGAGUCUGUUUUGAUUUGGGAUAAAAACACAUUGAAACCAAUAGUUUAGGGACCCAGCCCACUUUAUACAACUAAAUGGGUUUGGAUUUUACCCUUAUUUGCUAAAAACCUACCUAAGAUCGCUGUUGCUGGAACUUAGUCUUUAUAAAGUAUACAAAGGACCUUAUGUUGAGCAUUGAAGAAAAUAUGUGAUCCAGAUGUUAAAGCAAAAGACAAACCUUGAAUCCCACAUCAGUGUUUGAUAUAUGUUAUUUGCAUUGUUCCCCUCGGGGUCUGAUAGACGUGCUCUUGCCUAACUUAGCCACAGUGUUCACAGGUCUAUAAUAUUCCUCCCGUCUCUCAUUCAGUCUUGAUUCCCCAUCAGAGAGCUUAGUAAUAAUACACCUGAGUUAGAAAAUUGAGAGAGCAUUAAAUGAGCUAAUAGCAAACACUUAGCUGGGUUGUAGGUCAUCAAGGAGUGUAGCUCUAAUGAUUUCUUUUUUUUUUUUUUUCCUUUUUGUC